GACCGAGUGCCCGAGUGGCCAGGGAGCGGUCUGCAAAACCGCCUACACCGGUUCGAAUCCGGUCUCGGUCU
rnacentral:tRNA from 1 species